UUGACCUCAAAUCAGGUAGGACUACCCGCUGAACUUAAGCAUAUCAAUAAGCGGAGGAAAAGAAACUAACAAGGAUUCCCCUAGUAACUGCGAGUGAAGCGGGAAAAGCUCAAAUUUAAAAUCUGGUAGUCUCUGGCUGCCCGAGUUGUAAUCUAGAGAAGUGUUAUCCGCGCUGGACCGUGUACAAGUCUCCUGGAAUGGAGCGUCAUAGAGGGUGAGAAUCCCGUCUUUGACACGGACUGCCAGGGCUUUGUGAUGCGCUCUCAAAGAGUCGAGUUGUUUGGGAAUGCAGCUCUAAAUGGGUGGUAAAUUCCAUCUAAAGCUAAAUAUUGGCGAGAGACCGAUAGCGAACAAGUACCGUGAGGGAAAGAUGAAAAGAACUUUGGAAAGAGAGUUAAACAGUACGUGAAAUUGUUGAAAGGGAAACGCUUGAAGUCAGUCGCGUUGGCCAGGGAUCAACCUUGCUUUUCUGCUUGGUGUACUUUCUGGUUGAUGGGUCAGCAUCAAUUUUGAUCAGUGGAAAAAGAUCAAGGGAAUGUGGCAUCUUCGGAUGUGUUAUAGCCCUUGGUUGCAUACAUUGGUUGGGAUUGAGGAACUCAGCAUGCCUGUAAAGGCCGGGUCUUUUGACCACGUUCGUGCUUAGGAUGCUGGCAUAAUGGCUUUAAUCGACCCGUC
rnacentral:rRNA from 1 species